rnacentral:rRNA from 1 species
UUUCCGGUUGAUCCCGCCGGAAGCCACUGCUAUUGGGGUUCGACUAAGCCAUGCGAGUCUAUGGACUUCGGUCCAUGGCGGACGGCUUAGUAACACGUGGCUAACCUACCCUCAGGUGGGGGAUAACCUCGGGAAACUGAGGAUAAUACCACAUAGGGGAAGAGGUCUGGAAUGAUCCUUCCCUGAAAGGAUAUCCGCCUGAGGAUGGGGCUGCGUCCGAUUAGGUAGUUGGUGGGGUAACGGCCCACCAAGCCUACGAUCGGUACGGGCCUUGAGAGAGGGAGCCCGGAGAUGGGGACUGAGACACGGCCCCAGGCCCUACGGGGCGCAGCAGGCGCGAAACCUCCACAAUGCACGAAAGUGCGAUGGGGGAACCCCAAGUGCCUAUGCACAGCAUAGGCUUUUCCCAAGUGUAAAUAGCUUGGGGAAUAAGGGCUGGGCAAGUCCGGUGCCAGCAGCCGCGGUAACACCGGCGGCCCGAGUGGUGGCCACUCUUAUUGGGCCUAAAGCGUCCGUAGCCCGGUCCAGUAAGUCCCUGUUUAAAUCCUACGGCUCAACCCGUAGGGCUGGCAGGGAUACUGCUGGACUUGGGACC